GGCCAGAAUGGUAUAGUGGUUUGAGUGUUGGACUAUGACUCUGGAGACCAGGGUUUGAUUCCCAGUUUGACCA
rnacentral:tRNA from 1 species